CCUACGGGAGGCAGCAGUGGUGAAUAUUUCACAAUGUGGGAAACCCUGAUGCAGCGACGCCGCGUGAGUGAAGAAGUAAUUCGUUACGUAAAGCUCUAUCAGCAGGGAAGAAAUACUGACCUUACGGUCAGCAGACGGUACCUCAGUAAGAAGCCCCGGCUAACUACGUGCCAGCAGCCGCGGUACUACGUAGUGGGCAAGCGUUCUCCGUGUUUACUGGGUGUAACGGGAGCGUAGACGGUGCGCCAAGUCUGGAGUGCAAUUCCGCAGCUUAACUGCGGAACUGCCUUGGAAACUGGCGAACUAGAGUGCGGGUGGGGUAAGCGGAAUUCCGAGUGUAGCGGUGAAAUGCGUAGAUAUGAGGAGGAACACCGGUGGCGAAGGCGGCUUACUGGACCGUAACUGACGUUGAGGCUCGAAAGCGUGGGGAGCAAACAGGAUUAGAUACCCGGGUAGUC
rnacentral:rRNA from 1 species